rnacentral:rRNA from 1 species
UACAGAGGUCUCAAGCGUUGUUCGGAUUCAUUGGGCGUAAAGGGCGCGUAGGCGGCGGGGUAAGUCGGGUGUGAAAUCUCAGAGCUCAACUCUGAAAUGGCACUUGAUACUGCUCUGCUAGAGGACUGGAGAGGAGAUUGGAAUUCGCGGUGUAGCAGUGAAAUGCGUAGAUAUCGUGAGGAAGACCGGUGGCGAAGGCGGAUCUCUGGACAGUUCCUGACGCUGAGGCGCGAAGGCCAGGGGAGCAAACGGG